AAAAAAGCAGCCGCCCAUCGCACACCCCCUCCCCCCCUACUAAUGAACUAUAUCUAAUAGCCUCUCUUUCGGGAGUCCUUUGAGAAGGAGGCGGUGCUUGGUUUUGACCUCAUUAUCCACGCAUUCCCCCCGCCCCCACUGGGGCAGGUACAUUCCUUGCAUUCCUGCCUGCAGGAGCUGCUAGGAGGUCGUUAACCCCGGGGCGAGCCUGAGAAAAAGCGGCCGACUGCCUCUGAGAGUCCUCGGGGAGCAGGCACGAGAUAACGAGAGGUGACGGGUCAGUGAUGCCUUCUGCCCAGUGCCAACUCAACGUAAAGAUCUGGGGAUAUAGAGAUGGCUGUGCUGGGGUCCCCAACCUCAUUAAGCACAAUGACCCCAAGUGCUAACAUCAUGGAGCACCCACCACACACUGGAUAAUAACAGCAAGCACAUGGAUGUGAUCUCCACCUCAUACCAAGAACGCCAGGAUCGUGGUGUUUCUUCCAAGAAAUUCGGACGGACCAACUCCCCUCCAAGUAUUUGACAAUAUUUCCCAAGAACAUCACCAGCAGAUAUUUCUAGGUAGGAAGUCUUUGUUAAUAGGGGGUAUGACCAUGAUCACAAUAUAUCCUGCACAUGUGUGAAAAUGUCAUAAGGAAAUUUACUGUUAUGUACAAUUGAUAUAUACUACUAAAACAAAAAAGCUCUUCAAGAAUAAAUAUAACAUUUUGAAUAGUAAAAACAAACAAAUCAGUAUUGGGCGGGGCAUAGUGGCGCAGGCCUUUUAAUUCCAGCAUUUGGAAGGCAGAAGUAGGUGGAUUUCUCUGAGUUCAAGGCCAGCCUGGUCUACAUAGCAAGUUUUAGGCCAACGAGGACCACAUGAGACUACCUCAAGAAAAAUAAAUAAAAAAUAAACGUGCCCCCCUCCGCCCCGCCCAAGCCACCGGUUUCCAUGUUCACACACUACCAAUGACCUGACCCAAAAGGUAUUUUCUGAAUACCAACCAGGACCUCACUACUGGAUUACCUAAAUAAACAUUUUGAGCCAUCCUCCGUUACCCACGAUGCACUGG
rnacentral:lncRNA from 1 species